rnacentral:rRNA from 1 species
AUUGAACGCUGGCGGCAGGCCUAACACAUGCAAGUCGAGCGAGCGGCGGACGGGUGAGUAAUGUAUGGGGAUCUGCCUGAUAGAGGGGGAUAACUACUGGAAAAGGUGGCUAAUACCGCCUACUAUCGGAUGCACCCAUAUGGGAUUAGCUAGUAGGUGGGGUAACGGCUAACAGAGGCGACGAUCUCUAGCUGAUCUGAGAGGAUGACCAUCCAAACUGGGACUGAGACACGGGCCAGACUCCUACGGGAGGCAGCAGUGGGGAAUAUAGCACAAUGGGCGCAAGCCUGAUGAAGCAAUGCCGCGUGUAUGAAGAAGGCGUUAGGGUUGUAAAGUACUUUCAGCGGAGAGGCGUUACCCGCAGAAGAAGCACCGGCUAACUCCGUGCCAGCAGCCGCGGUAAUUC